AUCGUCUUCAAGAUAAUACAAUUGGUCCGCUGUCUGCUGGAAAGGUUAUGACUGGACGCAAAUUAUUUUCUCGAAAACCAGAACACGGGCCAAGGGUCACGGGAGGUCACUGCCUCUCUCUGUGUGCCAGUAACAGACACAGACGGUUAACAACCGGGCACAGCUUCAAAGAGCCAAGGUAUGUCCCCAGACACACACACAUUCAGGCACACGCACGCACGCACACACACACACACACGCACACACACACGCACGCACACACACACACAGCCAGCCCACUCUACGUCUCCUCAGCUCUCUGUCUCCCUCUGAGUGAACGCAUCACUCUGUGCUAAGUGGAAGUCUCACUCACUUCUCAUCCUCUAACGAUGUCAUCCUUCCCUCCGCAACUCACACAUCACACAUCAGUUAGUUAUUUUGGGUGGGGGCAGAGGGAGGGGCACUGACAGUGAGGGAGGAAGUACACAGGAAGUACAUUAGUUAUCAGUCUCUGUCGUCUCCACCUUUUCAGAUCCCAUCAGUAUUAAACUGCUCUGGAAGCAGCCCCUCUCUUUUUCCCUCUUAAAAGUCUUCCGUGCGCCACUUUAAACCAGGCCUCAGAUCUAAAUGACACUUCGCACUACACAUGCAUGAAGACAAGUGAAUUAAAUAUUGAAAUAAAAGACCGCAAAAAAAAAAGAAAGAAAAAGAGGACAGGAAAAAGAGGAAGAAAGACAUUGUUCCUGUGGCAGGUCAAAAGGGAGUGAUUGGCAAGAGGAGGAGUUUAAUAAGGUUCACAGGAAUUAGUCUUUCACUUAAAACAUGGUCACAUGAUCUUGCAAGAGUAGGUAGCCUAUGAUCAAGCAGAAUAAUCAUCACACUCAGCUAGUCAAAAAGGUACAACGGAUUCUAAUUUGCAGGACAUCAGUGAUUUUAUAGAGAACAACAAACAAAUAUUAUCUUAAAUUUCAUUUUUGUUCCUGAUUUUUAAGUGGCCUAAUUUACUCAUCCAAUGUGCUGUGUGUCCCUCCAGGGUCUCCGUAACAUGUAGGGGAUUGAAGGGGGACAAAACAGGAGCAGUGGGGGGUGGGGGGGUGGGGGGGGGGUGGGGGGGGGUUUGUCUGCAUGCUUUGCCAUGAUUCGGGAACCUCAGUGACCACACAAAUUAUUUUUCUAGUCAGCCGUGGGUGCAGAACCUGCCUGCUAGUUGUGCACAUUCUUAUUUAAGCUGUGUAACUGACGUCCAUAUGGUUUUCAUCAUCAUAAAGAAACGUUUGAGGGGGUUAUGUUUUUACUAGGCAGGAGCAGAGACUUGUCUGUCAAGCCAUGAUUUGACUAGCCUUCCGGAGGUUUAUGCUCGACAGUGUAACAUUCUGAAUAUUAAAUAUGCAAUUGAAAUGUGAAGUAGAGUAUAACUGCAAUGCAUUUUUCUUGUUGAAUCUAAAAAUGACAAUAAAUGAGCAUUCGACAUAUCGUGUCUAAUGUUGUCAUUGCAGUUCCUGAAUGAUUGUGGGUUAUAGUAUGCAGUGAUUUUCUACCUAUUAU
rnacentral:lncRNA from 1 species